rnacentral:tRNA from 1 species
UAUAUUUUAGUGUUAAAUGCACAAAAGAUUUUGAUUCUUUAAGUUAUAGAGUGAUCUAUAAAAUAUAA